CCGGCACGCUGCUGGCCUCGAGACUGCGUGGGGCCGGGUCAGCUGGGCUAGCGGCGGCGCGCGGGUCCGCGGGAGGCGGCGGCGGCGGGUGAGGGCUCGGCCCGGGCGGGGAGGCCUCGGGGCCCGCCGGGCGCCGUCGCCCCGAGCCUGUCCUGCGCUGUGGGAACUUUGUGCUUCAAGUUGCCCCUUGCCGGGUGCGGGUCCUGGGUGCACGCCGACUCUCGGGGCGGCCGGAGCCGGGAUCCCCCUGGGGCUGCCCAGCCCGCGAGCCACAGCCGAGCUUCCAGCAUCAGAUUGUGUUUCUCUUGACACUUGUCACCUUUGUUUCCACCGUCCCCCUCCACGGUGGACCUCCCGUGAGCGGAGACGUCCAAGACUGCAGGGAAAUACUGGGGAGGAAAGUGCCCCCGGAGGAGCAGAAAGAGUACCUCUACUUGCCGGCUUGUGAUGACUGACAUUUUCUCUGAGACGAUGGCCUGGACCAAAAUGAGAAGUACAUUUCCGUCGCCGAUCGCAAAGUAGCAAAGUAGCAGGCGACAGGCUGAGGACUGCCGGGCGAGCGAUGGAUCCCUGUGAAGAUCUGGAAGUGUCCGGUGGUAAAUCUCAGGACUCUAGGCGGAGGCAGCCUCAUGAACUUGAAGGACCACAGGCCAGCGGUCCUGAGGCGCUGGGGAAGGACUCUGCUGAGAUGUGGAGCCGGAAAUACCAGCUGCGGAGCAAAUACGUGCAGACCAGCAACAGUGAACCACAAGAUCAAAACAGAGUUUCCAAAGACCUUAUAACGGUUGUCCAAGAAAUGAAAAAAUACUUUCCGUCAGAGAGACAGAGUAAACCAAGCACCCUGGAUGCUCUCAACUAUGCCCUUUGCUGCGUACACAGCGUGCAAGCAAACAGCGAGUUUUUCCAGAUUCUCAGUCAGAAUGGAGCGCCUCAAGCAGACGUGACCAUGUACAGUCUUGAGGAGCUGGCCGCUAUUGCUUCGGAGCACACUUCCAAAAACACAGAUACCUUCGUGGCAGUUUUUUCAUUUCUGUCUGGAAGGUUAGUGCACGUUUCUGAACAGGCUCCUUCGAUCCUGCACUGUAAGAAAGAGUUCUUAGAGUCCUCUCAUUUCGUUGAACUGCUCGCCCCUCAAGACGUGAGGGUGUUCUACACGCACACUGCCCACGCUCAGCUUCCUUUCUGGAACAACUGGACCCAAAGAGCAGCCUCACGCUAUGAAUUCGCUCUGGUGAAAUCCUUUUUCUGCAGGAUCCGUGGAGGUGAAGCCCGGGAGCUGAGGCAGCCUUACUGCCCGUUCCGGAUUAUCCCCUAUUUGAUUCAUGUGCACAGCUCGGCCCGCCCGGAGCCUGAGCCCUGCUGUCUCACACUGGUGGAGAAGAUUCAUUCUGGUUACGAAGCUCCUCGAAUCCCAGUGGAUAAAAGAAUUUUUACCACAACACACACCCCCGGGUGUGUUUUUCUUGAAAUAGAUGAAAGAGCAGUGCCUUUGCUGGGUUACCUACCUCAGGAUCUGAUUGGAACAUCCAUCCUGACAUACCUGCACCCGGAAGAUCGUUCUCUAAUGGUCGCUAUACACCAAAAAGUCUUGAAGUAUGCAGGCCAUCUUCCCUUUGAACAUUCACCCAUUAGAUUUUGUUCUCAAAAUGGGGAUUACAUUGUAUUGGAUUCCAGUUGGUCCAGCUUUGUGAACCCAUGGAGCCGGAAGGUUUCUUUCAUCAUCGGUCGACAUAAAGUGCGAACAGUCACUUUCCCGGCGAUCACUGAGGCAGGAGGUUGCAAAGUGGAGACGGACACCAGAUUUCCUUCUUUACUCCUAGACCUGUUUCCUGACGUCCGCCGCCGCCGCCGCCGCCACCGCCGCAGCCAACACUUCAUGCCGAGCUUGACACCAUUUGAUGAAGGCGGCGAAUCCUUUGAGUUCUGUAAUUGGAGUCCACUAAAUGAGAAUGUUUUUGCCACCGGAAUAAAAAAGAUGAAAAGUAAUGACAAAGACAUAACAGAAUUACAAGAACAAAUUCACAGGCUUCUCUUACAGCCCGUUCACGGGAGCGCAUCCAGUGGCUAUGGGAGCCUGGGGAGCAGCGGGUCUCAGGAGCAUCACCUCAGCAUCGCAUCCUCCAGUGAGUCCAGCGAGCGCUGCAUGGAGGAGGUGCAGAAGGCACCGUUGACUUUGCAGCAGGUCUAUGCCAGUGUAAACAAAAUCAAGAAUCUAGGCCAACAGCUGUACAUCGAGUCAAGGGCCAAAUCACCAAAGAAGCAAGUGAUGGAGGCCGGCCCGGGACAGCGUGGUGAUGAGCAGAAGACCUUUUCUUCCUUCCAGACAUUAAAAAAUAAUAGCAUGUACACCGAGUCUUGUGAGGAAUUGAGAAGGUAUCAGCGUAGCCCAUCCUAUCAGCAAAUAAACUGUAUUGAUAGCGUUAUCAGGUACCUGAAGAGCUACAACAUUCCAGCUUUGAAGAGAAAGUGUAUCUCCUGUACAAAUACGACUUCGUCGUCCUCGGAAGAAGAUGGACAAAGCCACAGAGCAGAUGACGUCCAAGCACUGCAAGUUGCUCUUACAUCACCAGCUGUUUCUCAGAUCCCAGCCGUACCUACAUCAGAAAUGCCAGCUAAUGGACGGUCCACAGAUGCUGAAGGAGGAGUGCCACAGGCCCUGACCAAGGAGGCUCUGAGCCUGGACGUGAGGCAGUGCAGCUACAGCAGCACCGUUGUUCACAUGCCACCACUGGAGUCAGAAUUGAGUCCAGCAGAGCUUGGCACCCUGCCCUGUGAGCCCUGGACCCUCAGCACACACCCAGCUCCACUGGCCUCAGAACAGUUUAAACACACAGGGCUCACAAAAGCUGUGCUGUCAGCCCACACGCAGAAGGAAGAGCCGAGUUAUGUGGAUCAGUUCCGGGACAGGAUUCUGUCAUCGCCCUACGGCUCCUAUCUUCAGCAAGAAAGCAGAAGCAAAGCUACAUAUUCAGAUGUUCAAGGAGAUUCUGCUUCCAAGCCUACCCGAUCCGCUGGUUGCAGGAAGGGGAAGCACAAGCGUAAGAAGCUGCUCAUGUGGUCGGACAGCAAGGGCGCUAAGGAUGGCUUCUGUCCCCACCUCGUAGGAGAGGCCCAGGAUGGACAACGCUGGUGCCCUUCCUCCACCUCCUCUCCUCAUGCCUCUGGCCCAUUGCUCCAGGCUGCAGUGGUGGUUCCCAGCCAGGCAACUUGCCUCGUCCAAGCCCUUCCCCUCCCAACCAUGACCUCCCUGGGGAGAGAACGUGCAGCCUCAGAAACUGCGUUGCAGAGUCUGCCUGAGCCGCCUUUCCCCAACGGCUUGCAGUCUUCCCCAGCUCUGCCCUCUGCUUGCUUAGAUACUUUCAUGAACAUCUUCCUGCAUGACGCCCCUAUCUGUCCUCUCUUGUUACCACCAUUCUCCCCAUAUCCAUUCUUGGGAGCAGCAGGCUCUUCUGAAAUACCUGCCUCGGUAUCAGCAGUGCCUCCAAAUCCAGGCCCACCAUCUUCAGCCAUCAGCCAAAGGAGCGGCGAGGGAAAGUGGGGGACCCAGAAUGAAGGGCACCCCCUCAUUAACUCAAAGAGCAGCUCCCCGCUCCAGCUCGACCUGCUGCAGGAGGACAGGCCCAGAUCCUGUGCAUCCCCAGAAGCUGAGUAUCAGCCUGUCAGUCUCAACAGUGAGAAUAAGAACGAUCAUUUUACUACCAGUGAACUGUCUACAGUGUCACUGCAUGAGGCUUCUCCGCCGGGAGCUGGUUCUGCAGCAGCAGGAAGCAGUGGCAGCAGUAUAAACUUUGCUACUAGUGAUUAUUCUUCUGAAAUCUUUCAAAAUGGGCAGCAGUCUCAGGAUGUACAGAAAAAAGAAACAUUUCCCAACUUAGCUGAAGAGUCCAUCUGGAGAAUGAUAGAACAAACACCUGAGUGCAUUCUGAUGACGUAUCAGGUGCCUGAGAGGGUUAAAGAAAUUGUACUGAAAGAAGACCUAGAAAACCUGGAAAGCAUGAGGCGGCGGCAGCCGCAGUUUUCUCACGGACAAAGGGAGGAGCUGGCCAAUGCGCGUUCCUGGAUUCAGAGCCAGACGAUCCCUCAGGAAAUAGACAUCCAGUAUUUUCGAUCUAUGGUUGGUUGAGUCUGUGGAUGUGGAACCUGCAGAGAGGGCCGACUGUGCAUUGCAUGAUCCCGCUGAAAAUCUUAAUCUUCACAAUUGCUUCUGUGGGCUGCGUCACUUGCGAAAACGGAGAUUCAGCUGGUGAUGCUACAGAAUGCUGUGGUCCGGAUCCAGCAGAAGCAGCAGCUGAGUGACUCUGAAGAUGCACCUGUACUCCCUCUCCAGGCCUGUGGGACAGCUAGACCUCCUGUGAUUCCUAUAAACCCCUGGGUCUUAAAUGACCAUGAAGUUAUCAUUGAAUAUUAAGCUUUUUCCUUCCUGAUUUUUUAACAGACAUCAUUUUCCUGAAGCAGACAUUGUAUAUAGACUCUUUUCCUUGUCUUUUUCCCCAAUGUAUUUAAACUGUCAAAUAGACUCUUUUUCUAGUUUAGCUGUCCUCUAAUGAGAUUGGAUGACCUCUAAAGAGGUAUGUGUACAGUCAAACUUUACUUCAGAUGUCACCCCAAAUAAAUUACAAUUAGAAGUAUAGCUAGAGGACUUCCCUGGUGGUGCAGUGGUUAAGAAUCUGCCUGCCAAUGCAGGGGACACGGGUUCGAUCCCUGGUCUGGGAAGAUCCCACAUGCCGCGGAGCAACUAAGCCCGUGCGCCACAACUACUGAGCCUGCGCUCUAGAGCCCGUGAGCCACAACUACUGAGCCCAUGCACCACAACUACUGAAGCCCACGCACCUAGAGCCCGUGCUCUGCAACAAGAGAAGCCACCGCAAUGAGAAGCCCGCGCACCACAACGAAGAGUAGCCCCUGCUCGCCACAACUAGAGAAAGCCCACGUGCAGCAAGAAGACCCAGUGCAGCCAAAAAUAAAGUAAAUAAAAUAAAUAAAUUUAUUUAAAAAAACCAAAGUAUAGCUAGAAAGAGCCCCAAACCUUAGCCUCAUUGAUUUUGUUCUGUUGUUACAUGAAUCAUUUCCCCCUGUUAGAGACUUCAAGAAAUCCCCGCUAUGGGCCAUGUACCUUUCCUAACAGUGUCCAUAAAUACAGUGCCCUCACCUGGUCUUUGCACGGUGACACAUCCCUCCACAGUUAGGGUCUGACAUUCCAGUUUUCUCACAACGCAACACAGAUCACUUCAGCAUUGACCAGUAUGAAAAUGUAUUGUCCAUUGGUGUACCGGAAAUUCCUAGCUUUUAGGGUUGAAUUUUGACCUUCAUUUUUGUAGCCGCUUUUCCUUUUGAUUUUCUACCUUCCACUGAAAUUCUCAAAGUCUUAGUUAAAAAUGGAUCAGCUUAUCAAUGAGCUUGUUCUUUGCCGGGUUUAAAUUAGCUUUUGCAUGUGUAAUGUUAAAACAAAAGAGCUUCUAGCUCACCAGCUUCUGACUCUUUGAAAUUUUUAAAUAAUGAUUGCAAAAAGUCUUUAAAGUCAUGUAAGAGUUAAUGUUGUUCUUAUAUGCGUAUGUGUUUAAAUGUUGUCUUAUCAAAACUAACAGUUAACUCUUUGUUUCCAACCAAUUUACACAAAAGAAUGUCUCUCAAUCCCUGCCAGAGGUCUGAUUGGCACUGCCUUCUUUUUGUCCUUAAAUAGGGGUAAGUGUUGCCCUUAAAUAGGGGUAAGGGACCUACGGGAGGUCCCUAGCCAAGAGGGUUGCAGAAUCUGCCACAAAUGAGGGCUUCCUGGGCCUGCUGAAGUUGUGUCUUUUAAGAAGUAAGUGAGUUGUUUACAAGAUAAGGGAGCCCCCUCUUCUUAGAGAAGUGAUGAUUCCUUCUCAAACUUGGAAUGACGUGCAGUUCACACCCAUGUAGAUCAGAAACAGGAAUAGAAAAAAAUGAAGGCUGGAAUAACCUUUUCUCUUUUAAAUAACAUGCAACAAACUAACUUACUUUUCUUUUGUUGCUGUUGUGUUUUUUUGUUGUUUUUUUUUUUGUUUUAGGAAAACGCUUCUUCCUUUCAAGUUUCAUAGUUUUUUAUAAAAUGCAUCCUGCUCCUAAUUAUGAGAAUCAACCUUUCUAUCCACAAUGCUGCUGGACUCUGAUUCUCAAGCCUCGUAGCUUAGAUUUACUUUCUAAAGUGGAACAGACGGCUCUCGAAUCUGCAGGGGAUUGGUUCCAGGACCCCCUCGCAGAUGCUAAAAUCCAUGGAUGCUCGAGCCCCUUCUAUAACGUGGUGGUACAGUCAGCUCUCUGUACCCGUGGAUCCGCGCCCAGGAUUCUACACCCCUCCCCGAUUCUCCCCACCGGGAAUACGGGGGGCCAACUCGAGCUUCCUAGAAGGUAAAUCUUUCUUCAGGUGUCAGAACCAUUUUCAAACGAUGCCCGUGACAUUUCCUGGAAUUUUCUCACUUUAAGCUGUUCAUGCCCAUAUUCCUGUCUUAUGAAUAGAGAACUCUCCUAUUCUGCUCCAUCUCGACUGUUAAAUGGUCCCUGAAGCCCUUGUUGUGUUGGUCCAGUUGGGUGGUAUUUUUGCCCUUGAAGAAAAAUCAAAUUUUAAAAAAUGAACCAGCCUGGAUAUUGCCCAUCAGUAGAAUCGCUGUGACCUUCUGUAGUGAUAACCUUCUUAAUUGUUUUAAAUUAAAAUGACAUGGGGCAAUCAGAGGACUGUUCUGCAUUUGUGAACAUGUUUUUUAAACCUGACCUUCUCUAAUGUAAGCCCUCUUUUCGAUUCUUCCUGGAUGUUUGUUUUAUCGACAUUUGCUUAUUUCUUUGCCUUACUACACGUUUAGGGUCAAUUUAAAAUUGGUGCUUGUUGUAAGCAGAUCUAUAAAACCAUUUGUAGUUUUGAUACUUUGAUAAGUCGCCGAAUUAUCAUGUCUAGAGUUUGGACCAUGAUGCUUCUACUGCUGAGGAUGAGCAGACAAGGUUCAGCAGUGCGGCUGCCGCCCCCCAGGGGGGCUCCCCCCAAGUUUAAACAGUUGUUCAAGUUUAUUAACUUUUUGUAUCGAUAACUAUAGAAAUUGGUAAUAAAAAUGUAUACUAUAGGCUUCAGUGUUUACAGAAAUGUUACCAAAAAGCUGUAUUUUCUUGGAUGAGAGGUCAGGAUUUAUGAACAACAGAAUGCGGUGCGAACGGAAUCGUUUUACAAUUAAGUGCAACUUCAUCAUAACUCACAAGGUAAAUUUAAUCCAAAUGGAAAUUUUCUUUUAACUGAGUUUAUAAUUAACUGUGAAUUUACUUGUUUUUAAUGGUUAUGAAUAUUUUAAUCGGGUAUCUUUUUUAAGCAAAAACAAUAAACGGUAUACAUGUAAAACUUGAGAAA